GGUCCCGCGCGCUGGCACUUCCGGUACCUCUCUUCUCUAGCCAGCAAAGAGAAGUGCCAAGUCAGUUCCGGCAGAGAGCGCGGUGAGAAGCGGAUCGCGGCCUUCUAGCCCGGGGCCCUCCAGGCCCUCCGGCCUCUGGUCGGCAGGUGAACUGGGGGGCCCCCGGGACAAGCUCAGGCUGUGUCUUACCGAGCCCCAGAGCCCUCGCCGCAGCCGCCCACUGGCAGGGCCCGAGCCUGGAAGCAGCAACGAACUGCUCCCCCACCCCCACCUCCGCGACCUAAUGGCGGCGGCCCCUCGGAGCCCAGAUCCCGCCCACCGCCGGGUCUCUUGACCCCACGCUGCAGGGGUCAGGCGAAGCCUCCGGCAGGCCACCGAGGACGUGGCGCCUUUGGGCGUCGGGCGUGGCAGGGCGAGAAGAAUGGCGGCCACUGGAACGCUGCAGAGGGCCGUUAGAGCCUCGAGGGCCUGGGAAGGGGGGGUCUACGUGGACGCCAGCUCAGCUACCCUUAGGCCUUGGAGCCCGCGCGGAUCCGGGACCUGAGGUGACCUCUCUGCCCCAGUUGGACGAGACCUCACCUCGUCCGGACAACGACGGACAAAGGCCUUAACGGGCCCGGAAGCAUGUUUUAGGAAUUACUUGAUGCCAGUGAAGUUUGCAGAGCACAGGCUCCAGACGCGCAGGCUCAGCGGCCAUGGCUCACGGGCCCAGCCACUCCGCGGCAUGUGGGAUCUUCCCAGACCGGGCCACGAACCCGUGUCCCCUGCAUCCGCAGGCAGACUCCCAACCACUGCGCCACCAGGGAAGCCCGCCAGUGAAGUUUUAAAUGACCUUUCUUGUGAUGAAGACCUAUGAAAAGGGAAUUUAAAUUUCACGGCGCUACCAAUAACGCUUGAAGAGGCAAAUAGCUCAUGGGUGCCUCCUGCUUCACCACGCAAAACAGGAUCUUGCCGACUUCACUUGACAUAACCCAAGAGUCCCAAACAAAGGGUCAGGCUCUAACUGCAAUAGGACAGACUGCCAUUAAACAGGAGGAAGAACUUUCUGACAGUAUCAACAUGAAACCUUAAGGACAAGGGAUCAUGGAAGACAGGAUGUUUAAGAAGAGAAACAAACUGAGGUUUGGAGCCAAACAGGCCCAGAUGGGGAAACUGAGGCAAAGAGCAGUUGCUUGCCUGCUGUGACGCAGCUGGUCGGAAGCAGAGCAGCCUAAAUCCAGAACUCCUGCUCGUUAUCCUGCUCCUUCUGCCCUGUGAUGUCCGUGAGAUCAGACAGAAGGACGGGAGAAGGUCUGGCUUUAUGGGGAAGAGGCUUCCAGAAGAGCAAUGAGCAAUUCCUCUCCAUCUCCACACAAAACAAGAAAAACUCUUGCACAGUAGCAUGAGUUUUAAGUUAUGACCGGAAGAAGGACUUUCUGACAGUAUCUUUCAAGAUAAAAACCUGCUCUCAGGAAAAGAUAUGGUCUCAGUUUCUAACCAUUAAAAUCAUAGAUGGUCAGUGUUGUUAAGACUUAAAGACCAUGAGUCCACCUCCUUCCAUGUGAUAAACGUGAUAAGGGAGCAAAGGGGGAACAGCCCUCACCGGCAGCCAACCAUUCUAGAUACUAACUUUGUGGUGCCAGAAGGGACCCGAGGCCAAGAAGUCCAGAGCCAAGUAGAAACAGGCCCCUAAUUUAAAGUACGCUGGGAGAAGGUAGCUCGCAGUAAAAUAGGUAGGAGGCACUUUUUUUUUUUUUUGCGGUACGCGGGCCUCUCACUGUUGUGGCCUCUCCCGUUGUGGAGCACAGGCU